GAUGAACGCUGGCGGCGUGCCUAAUACAUGCAAGUCGAGCGAACGGACGAGAAGCUUGCUUCUCUGAUGUUAGCGGCGGACGGGUGAGUAACACGUGGAUAACCUACCUAUAAGACUGGGAUAACUUCGGGAAACCGGAGCUAAUACCGGAUGAUAUUUUGAACCGCAUGGUUCAAAAGUGAAAGACGGUCUUGCUGUCACUUAUAGAUGGAUCCGCGCUGCAUUAGCUAGUUGGUAAGGUAACGGCUUACCAAGGCAACGAUGCAUAGCCGACCUGAGAGGGUGAGCGGCCACACUGGAACUGAGCCACGGUCCAGACUCCUACGGGAGGCAGCAGUAGGGAAUCUUCCGCAAUGGGCGAAAGCCUGACGGCGCAACGCCGCGUGAGUGAUGAAGGUCUUCGGAUCGUAGAACUCUGUUAUUAGGGAAGAACAUAUGUGUAAGUAACUGUGCACAUCUUGACGGUACCUAAUCAGAAAGCCACGGCUAACUACGUG
rnacentral:rRNA from 1 species